rnacentral:rRNA from 1 species
UACAGAGGUCUCAAGCGUUGUUCGGAUUCAUUGGGCGUAAAGGGCGCGUAGGCGGCGUGUUAAGUCACUUGUGAAAUCUCUGAGCUUAACUCAGAACGGUCAAGUGAUACUGAUGUGCUAGAGUGCAGAAGGGGCAACCGGAAUUCUUGGUGUAGCGGUGAAAUGCGUAGAUAUCAAGAGGAACACCUGAGGUGAAGACGGGUUGCUGGGCUGACACUGACGCUGAGGCGCGAAAGCUAGGGUAGCAAACGGG